rnacentral:rRNA from 1 species
UAUUAUUAAAUAAAUUUUUAUCCUUCUAAAAGAGUAGUUUAUAAAAAUUGAAAUUUAAAAAAUCUGGCGGUAUUUUAUUCUUUUUAGAGGAAUUUGUUUAGUAAAUGAUAAUCCACGUUAUAUUUUACUUAAUUUAAUAAAUUUGUAUACCGUUGUUGAAAAAAUAUCUUUAAAUAGUUAAAAAUUUUUUAAUUUUUUAAUAAAAAUAAAUAUCAAAUCAAGGUGCAGUUUAUAAUUAAGUUUUUAAUGAAUUACAAUAAAAUUAUUUAUAUGAAUAUUAAAUUGAAAUAUUUGAUUGAAGGUGGAUUUAAUAGUAAAAUUUAUAAAAUUAUAGAUUUGAAAUAAUUUUAAAAUGUGUACAUAUUGCCCGUCGCUUUCAAUUUGGAUAA